ACCCCUCCAAUGCUGUUUCAAUUUUCUCUUGGAGUUUGAUGAACUCCAAGGCCAAACUCUGCUGCUCUGGAGAAGGCAGCCCAUAAUGGGGCAGAGCGAGCUUGCAGGGGGUGGAGUGCUGCCAUGUAUUGAGCUCCUUAUCCCCCACGAGGAAAGAACACCAACCAUCACAAGGAAAGACCAGAACUGCUCUUGUGUGGAUGUUGUGACAUCCAUAUCCCCUCAAUUGAAUAAACAUUGCCAGCAUCUCCAUCAUCAACAUCAAUACGUUCAGCCAAGCAUGAAGCCACUUCCUGGACCUUUACAGUUAAGCAUACAGAAACCCCAGAGGAAGCAAAGCCAAGGCUGCCUUCUGACUUCAUACCAAUCCAGAUACUGACACCUCAGUAUGAACAUUAGGUUUUGAGCGUGUUAAGUACAAUCUGGUGAGCACCUCACAUUGACAGCUCCAGAGUUGACUGAGGAAGGAACACCACAGGCUCUUGCAAAACUGCUGGAGACCAGGCAUCUGUUUAGUCCCAGCUAGAAGAGGGCCCUGUAGCGUUGGAACCGAGCUGGAGAAGGAGGCACGUACAAUCCCCUCAGAUGUCUCUCCUUAGGAAACCCCAGAGGUAACCAGGCCCUCAACCUUCACCUUGCCUGCUCCCCUGCAACCCUCGGAAGUUCACUCAGACCCUCAGCAUGUCUGGCUUGUCCAGACACAAGUGCAUCAGAGUCACCAUACCAAACCUCCACUGCUAUGGGCCCAUAGACUCCACUGCUGAGCAGGCUCCCUCUGCCAUAACUGCA